rnacentral:rRNA from 1 species
UACGAAGGGGGCUAGCGUUGUUCGGAAUUACUGGGCGUAAAGCGCACGUAGGCGGGUUUGUAAGUAGGGGGGUAGAAACUCCAGGGCUCAACCCUGGAACUGCCUUCUAAACUGCAAGCCUGGAGGUCAGGAGAGGCGAGUGGAAUACCGAGUGUAGAGGUGAAAUUCGUAGAUAUUCGGUGGAACACCAGUGGCGAAGGCGACUCGCUGGACUGAUACUGACGCUGAGGUGCGAAAGCGUGGGGAGCAAACAGG